AAAUAGGAUUUAUUAAAAUCCACACGUUUUCAUGGCAUGAUUAAAG
rfam:Angiostrongylus costaricensis strain Costa Rica genome assembly, scaffold: ACOC_scaffold0000251